CCUACGGGAGGCUGCAGUGGGGAAUAUUGGACAAUGGGGGGAACCCUGAUCCAGCCAUGCCGCGUGUGUGAAGAAGGCCCUCGGGUUGUAAAGCACUUUCAGUGAGGAAGAACGCCUGGUGGUUAAUACCCAUCAGGAAAGACAUCACUCACAGAAGAAGCACCGGCUAACUCCGUGCCAGCAGCCGCGGUAAUACGGAGGGUGCGAGCGUUAAUCGGAAUUACUGGGCGUAAAGCGCGCGUAGGUGGCUUGAUAAGCCGGUUGUGAAAGCCCCGGGCUCAACCUGGGAACGGCAUCCGGAACUGUCAAGCUAGAGUGCAGGAGAGGAAGGUAGAAUUCCCGGUGGAGCGGUGAAAUGCGUAGAGAUCGGGAGGAAUACCAGUGGCGAAGGCGGCCUUCUGGACUGACACUGACACUGAGGUGCGAAAGCGUGGGUAGCAAACAGGAUUAGAUACCCGGGUAGUC
rnacentral:rRNA from 1 species